GUAGGUGUACGAGGUGAACAAGAAUGUGAGGUGGGCGAAUGUGUAUGACCCCGACGAAGAUUUCCCGGAGCCGGCGGAGUAUGUCAACAUGAUCGGUCUGUUAAAGAAUUGAUACUAUGAUUUGAUCUUGUCGACCAAGCUUGCUGGACUUGGCCAUGCGGCAUUCCUGUUCAUGGCAUCUGCUCGGGACAAAGUAAGCUACGUGUACCCUAAUGUCAAUGCAGCAGGCGCAGGCAUGCUGCUCACAGAGACCUUCACUUCUCCAACCAUGAACCUCUCCGAACGUGGAUACCACAUGUACGAUGAAAUGGAGGAAUGGUUAGGAAUGA